GCGGGUAUAGUAUAAUGGCUCUUAUGUUGGCCUUCCAAGCCGAAGAUACGGGUUCGAUUCCCGUUACCCGCU
rnacentral:tRNA from 1 species